AAUAGUUCACAUACAAGAUGUCAAGCGAACGACCUACGUGCAUUCUUAGGUGAUCCAAUGGCCACGUGCACAGACGGUUCUGGUUUAAAGAGAAUCACGAUCUAAUUGUUGAGAAUCAUGUGGGGCAAAAUUAUGAUUUUGCCAUUAAUGAAGCCGCAUCCAAUGGACUGCAUGCAACCACAUAUGUUAAGAUUGUGCGGUCUAAAUUUGUUGAGGGCUAGUUUAAAAGCCCAACCAUGCCCAACUUGACCCAGGGCCUAUCGGGGAAGGAAAGAAAAGAAAAGAAAAAUAAAGAAAAAAAGAAAGAAAAGGUGACCGAGAGUUACCACUUGCAGUGAAAAAGAGAGAGAAGAGGGCACAACACACGAUGGAAGGGGAGAUUUGUGCGUUGGUGGAAGAAAAACUGAUGCAACCCGAUGAGAAGAGAGCGGCGACCGAUCGAAAAAAAAGGAAGAAUGGGAUCAUGCGAGGGAGCAAGAGAGAGAAAGGGAGAUCGACAGGCGUGACAGAAGAAGAAGAGGGAGAAGAAAAAGAAGAAGAAGAAGAAAAAGAAGAAGAAGAAGAAGAGAAGAAGAAGAAGAAGAAGAAGAAAAAGAAGAAGGAGAAAAAGAUCAGGUGCAUGGGGGAUCAAGAUUCGUGCGCGACCAAGAGUGAGCGAACCGUUCGGCAGGAAGAGGUGCAAGCAGUUUUGUGUGCAUGGCGAAAGGAGGAUAUGCGCACGGCGCGGUGGCCAUGGCACAUGCUAUGGAGGAGAGAGUAACCGCAGGGAGAGAAAAAAAGAAAAAGAAAAGAAAAGAAAAAAAAGAGAAAAAAAAAAGAGAGAGAAAAAAAAGCAAAAAAAAAGAGAAGAAGAAAGGAAAAAAAAAAGAAAAGAAAACUACAAAACAAAGAAAUAAAAAAGAAAGAAACAUGGCGCGACCUGGUGCUGGUGUGCCGCACGCAACGAAUGUUUGAUCUAUUUUAGAUAUGACGCUUGUAACAUGGUGACAGUGCAUUACUGGUGGUGUUGAUUUUAGUAGUGGCAUAUGGGUCAGCGUGUGGCGAUGUCGACGACGUAGGUUUGAUCGUACAGGUGGCACGUGGUGGUGCGUGGUGACUCCAAUGACCAGAGGGCUGCAUGUUUCAGAUAUUCGAAUAGGUAGUCGGGAUUGAGAGAGGACCGUAGCCCGAUACCAUUUUGGGUUAUCGUGUUGGUGACCAUGAGGAUCGAACUGGUCUAACUAUGUCUUUCGAUGAACCAGGAUAUGUUUCCUUUGGGAAUCCCAAACCCCGUUCAAGGUAAAAUUUGGAAAUUCAUGAUCUUGUGUUGUUAGCUCGCUUAAGUUUGAUUAAAAUUUAACUGGGUAAAUUGAAGUUUAGAUUUAGAAAAUGUAAUACGUAGUUUAUAAAUUAUUAUAUUUAAUUCUGGUAUUAGAAAUUCUCCUAAUAAUGAUGUAUAGUUUCACGUAUAAUGAAUUGUACUUGAAGAGAAUGUUAAAGAGCGA